UACGGAGGAUGCAAGCGUUAUCCGGAAUGAUUGGGCGUAAAGCGUCCGCAGGUGGCAAUGUAAGUCUGCUGUCAAAGCGUCUGGCUCAACCAGAUAAGGGCAGUGGAAACUACAUAGCUAGAGUGAGGUAGGGGUAGAGGGAAUUCCUGGUGUAGCGGUGAAAUGCGUAGAGAUCAGGAAGAACACCGGUGGCGAAAGCGCUCUGCUGGACCUAAACUGACACUGAGGGACGAAAGCUAGGGGAGCGAAUGGG
rnacentral:rRNA from 1 species